UAACCAGAAAGCCACGGCUAACUACGUGCCAGCAGCCGCGGUAAUACGUAGGUGGCAAGCGUUGUCCGGAAUUAUUGGGCGUAAAGCGCGCGCAGGCGGUCCUUUAAGUCUGAUGUGAAAGCCCACGGCUCAACCGUGGAGGGUCAUUGGAAACUGGGGGACUUGAGUGCAGAAGAGGAAAGCGGAAUUCCACGUGUAGCGGUGAAAUGCGUACAGAUGUGCAGGAACACCAGUGGCGAAGCCGGCUUUCUGGUCUGUAACUGACGCUGAGGCGCGAAAGCGUGGGCAGCAAACAGCAUUAGAUACCCUGGUAGUCCACGCCGUAACCGAUGAGUGCUAAGUGUUAGGGGGUUUCCGCCCCUUAGUGCUGCAGCUAACGCAUUAAGCACUCCGCCUGGGGAGUACGGCCGCAAGGCAUGAAACUCAAAGGAAUUGACGGGGGCCCGCACAAGCGGUGGAGCAUGUGGUUUAAUUCGAAGCCACGCGAAGAACCUCACCAGGUCUUGACAUCCUGUGACACUCCUAGAGAUAGGACGUUCCCUUCGGGGGACAGAGUACAGGUGGUGCA
rnacentral:rRNA from 1 species